rnacentral:misc_RNA from 1 species
GAACUGUCUCUUAUACCACAUCUCCCCGAGCCCACGAGUUUGAACUCGGAUCAGGUAGGAAUACCCGCUGAACUUAAGC